AGUGAACGCUGGCGGUAGGCCUAACACAUGCAAGUCGAACGGCAGCACAGGAGAGCUUGCUCUCUGGGUGGCGAGUGGCGGACGGGUGAGGAAUACAUCGGAAUCUACUCUGUCGUGGGGGAUAACGUAGGGAAACUUACGCUAAUACCGCAUACGACCUACGGGGGAAAGCAGGGGAUCUUCGGACCUUGCGCGAUUGAAUGAGCCGAUGUCGGAUUAGCUAGUUGGCGGGGUAAAGGCCCACCAAGGCGACGAUCCGUAGCUGGUCUGAGAGGAUGAUGAGCCACACUGGAACUGAGACACGGUCCAGACUCCUACGGGAGGCAGCAGUGGGGAAUAUUGGACAAUGGGCGCAAGCCUGAUCCAGCCAUACCGCGUGGGUGAAGAAGGCCUUCGGGUUGUAAAGCCCUUUUGUUGGGAAAGAAAUCCAGCUGGCUAAUACCCGGUUGGGAUGACGGUACCCAAAGAAUAAGCACCGGCUAACUUCGUGCCAGCCGCCGCCGUAA
rnacentral:rRNA from 1 species